rnacentral:rRNA from 1 species
CCCUUAGAUGUUCUGGGCCGCACGCGUGCUACACUGAGUGGAUCAGCGGGUCAGGUUGCGCGAAAGCGUUUCCUAAUCUUGAAAUCCGCUCGUGAUGGGGAUUGACGGUUGCAAUUUUCUGUCAUGAACGAGGAAUACCUUGUAAGCGCGAGUCAUCAUCCCGCGCUGAAUACGUCCCUGCCCUUUGUACACACCGCCCGUCGCUCCUACCGAUUGAGUGGUCCGGUGAGGCUUUGGGAUCUGAGCGGAAAGAGCGUUUCGCUCGUUCUGCCCGGAAAACUCAGUCGAACCUUAUCGCUUAGAGGAAGGAAAAGUCGUAACA